UACGUAGGGUGCAGGCGUUAAUCGGAAUUACUGGGCGUAAAGCGUGCGCAGGCGGUUUGCUAAGACAGGUGUGAAAUCCCCGAGCUUAACUUGGGAAUUGCGCUUGUAACUGGCAAGCUAGAGUGUGGCAGAGGGGGGUGGAAUUCCACGUGUAGCAGUGAAAUGCGUAGAUAUGCGGAGGAACACCGAUGGCGAAGGCAAUCCCCUGGACCUGUACUGACGCUCAUGCACGAAAGCGUGGGGAGCAAACAGG
rnacentral:rRNA from 1 species